rnacentral:rRNA from 1 species
UACGGAAGGCAGCAGUGGGGAAUAUUGCACAAUGGGCGCAAGCCUGAUGCAGCCAUGCCGCGUGUAUGAAAAAGGCCUUCGGGUUGUAAAGUACUUUCAGUCGUGAGGAAGGUGUUAAGGUUAAUAACCUUAGCAAUUGACGUUAGCGACAGAAGAAGCACCGGCUAACUCCGUGCCAGCAGCCGCGGUAAUACGGAGGGUGCGAGCGUUAAUCGGAAUUACUGGGCGUAAAGGGCACGCAGGCGGUUAAUUAAGUUGGAUGUGAAAUCCCCGGGCUUAACCUGGGAAUGGCAUUCAAGACUGGUUAGCUAGAGUCUUGUAGAAGGGGGUGAAAUUCCAUGUGUAGCGGUGAAAUGCGUAGAGAUGUGGAGGAAUACCGGUGGCGAAGCGGCCCCUGGACAAAAGACUGACGCUCAUGUGCGAAAAGCGUGGGGAGC